rnacentral:rRNA from 1 species
UACGUAGGGGGCAAGCGUUGUCCGGAAUCAUUGGGCGUAAAGAGCGCGUAGGCGGUCCGGUAAGUCGGUUGUGAAAACUGGGGGCUCAACCCUCAGAGGCCGACCGAUACUGUCGGGCUAGAGUCCGGAAGAGGCGAGUGGAAUUCCUGGUGUAGCGGUGAAAUGCGUAGAUAUCGGGAGGAACACCUGAGGCGAAGGCGGGCUACUGGGCCGAUACUGACGCUGAGGCGCGAAAGCCAGGGGAGCAAACGGG